rnacentral:rRNA from 1 species
CCUACGGGGGGCUGCAGUCGAGAAUCAUUCACAAUGGGGGAAACUCUGAUGGAGCGACGCCGCGUGGAGGAAUGAAGGUCUUCGGAUUGUAAACCCCUGUCAUGUGGGAGCAAAUUAAAAAGAUAGUACCACAAGAGGAAGAGACGGCUAACUCUGUGCCAGCAGCCGCGGUAAUACAGAGGUCUCAAGCGUUGUUCGGAAUCACUGGGCGUAAAGCGUGCGUAGGCUGUUUCGUAAGUCGUGUGUGAAAGGUGCGGGCUCAACCCGCGGACGGCACAUGAUACUGCGAGGCUAGAGUAAUGGAGGGGGAACCGGAAUUCUCGGUGUAGCGGUGAAAUGCGUAGAUAUCGGGAGGAACACUCGUGGCGAAGGCGGGUUCCUGGACAUUAACUGACGCUGAGGCACGAAGGCCAGGGGAGCGAAAGGGAUUAGAUACCCUUGUAGUC